rnacentral:rRNA from 1 species
CCUACGGGUGGCAGCAGUGAGGAAUAUUGGUCAAUGGCCGGAAGGCUGAACCAGCCAUGCCGCGUGAAGGUCAGUGCCCUAUGGGCGUUAAACUUCUUUUGUGCGGGAGCAAUAAUGGUCACGUGUGGCCAGACGAGAGGACCGUACGAAUAAGCAUCGGCUAACUCCGUGCCAGCAGCCGCGGUAAUACGGGGGAUGCAAGCGUUAUCCGGAUUUAUUGUGUUUAAAGGGUGCGUAGGCUGUGAGGUAAGUCAGCGGUGAAAUGCCCCCGCUCAACGGGGUGAAGUGCCAUUGAUACUGCCUUGCUUGAAUGCGGAUGCCGUGGGAGGAAUGUGUGGUGUAGCGGUGAACUGCAUAGAUAUCACACAGAACACCGAUUGCGAAGGCAUCUCACGAAUCCGCGAUUGACGCUGAUGCACGAAAGCGUGGGUAUCAAACAGGAUUAGAUACCCUAGUAGUC